UGCAUUCAAAAGCAAAAUGUAUCACAUAAUUAUUGAUGAUUAUGUCAAUGAUUAACUUUAUGGAAAUAUAGCAACGUAAUAACUAUUUAUUUUUUUAUCUCAAUCUGGAAAUAUAAAGACGAAAUAGUUUAGACAAAAAAGAACCCCUCUUACCUGGCUGUUUGGUGAGCUGGAACUAGAAAAUAAUUGCAGAGAAUGUAAAAUGUAUUACUACUGACAAACUGAUGGACGUCAGUUUGUAUCGAUUACGUCAAUUAGUUGGUAUGUGAUCUGUAGCCUUGAGAGUCAAUGUGUGUUAAGAAAUAACAAAUGUCAUCACGGAUUCAUCAACUGAAGGUAAAAAUAAAACCUUAAAAGCAGAAUUGAUUAUACAAUUAUCCACAUCGCAAGAGAAGAAAAUCAAACAAUUAUUAGAACACAGAGAAAUGGGAAAUAGGACCGAUCUUAUUCUUAAAGCUAUGAGUUGUAAGUCGUAGCGAAUUUCAAUUUGGCACAGCUACGAAAAAAAUUGCUCGAAAUUUAAUAACAAUUAAGUCGAACAUACAUAUUCACGAGGAAGAUCACGUACACGCAAUGAAAGGAGCUGAUGUCGUAGCCAGCGAUAUAGUGGAUGAUGCAGUUGAAAUAGAGAUUUAGCAAAUGCGCGUAAUUGAUUUCAAGAGAAUCGGGAUCAUUAUAUGUCGCAGUUGAUGACGGAUUGGAAGCAUAUCACCGUUUUAUCGCCGAUGCAAGCGUAAAAACAAAGUUCUUGAUAAAUACUGACAUAGAUUCCACUUGCAUUUUUUUCGCGUUCACGAGUCAAUGAAAAGUAAGCUUUUUAUCACAUUAUGGCUUAUUAGUUAAUAUGCGAAAUUGUUGUUUGAUAAACAAUGUAAUCGCUAGCAUCAAUCAAACAAAAAGGCAAUAGUUAAUAAAAAUUUAGUGCAGAAUA